rfam:Gorilla gorilla gorilla genomic chromosome, chr5, whole genome shotgun sequence
GCUGGGAGUGGUGGCGCAUGCCCGUAAUCCCAGCUACUUGGGAGGCUGAGGCAGGAGAAUCGCUUGAACCAGGGAGUCGGAGGUUGCAAUGAACCAAGAUUGUACCACUGCACUCCAGCCUGGCGACAGACUGAGACUCCAUAACAAAACAAAACAAAAAAAGACAGUCUCACUCUGUUCACCCAGGCUGGAGUGUAGCGGCGUGAUCUUGGCUCACGGCAACCUUCGACUCCCUGGUUCAAGCGAUUCUUCUGCCUCAG